rnacentral:rRNA from 1 species
UACGAAGGGGCUAGCGUUGCUCGGAAUCACUGGGCGUAAAGCGCACGUAGGCGGAUUGUUAAGUCAGGGUGAAAUCCUGGAGCUCAACUCCAGAACUGCCUUUGAUACUGGAGGAUCUUGAGUUCGGGAGAGGUGAGUGGAACUGCGAGUGUAGAGGUGAAAUUCGUAGAUAUUCGCAAGAACACCAGUGGCGAAGGCGGCUCACUGGCC